GGGGUUGUGGCUCAGUGGUAGAGCUCUUGCCUUGCACGUGUGAAGUACUAGGUUCAAUCCUCAACACCA
rfam:Ictidomys tridecemlineatus contig072269, whole genome shotgun sequence.